ACUUCUUCUGUAUAGAGAGGAGGGUUUUCCUCUUUGUUUCUUUUCCCCAUCUUUCUGUGGUCGUCUUUGCAUUCCCUCCCCAGUGAGCCAUUUCCCCACAUUACAGUAAGAGCUUCUUUGGGGGUAAUUAGUUGUCCUAAGGUAAUUCCAUUAAGGGUUCUCUAUUGACUUCCUAGAGUAGGACUUAUUGGAUGAGACACAAAACCAUUGUAGAAAGGGUGGUUAUAGGGAGAAGGAAUGUAUUAAAUGUUAAAAAGGAAUUGGUGCUUAAAAUGUUCUCAGGAUCAGACUUGGGUUGUUAUUUAAAUCUCGUUCCUGCAAGCAGAGCCGAGCCUGGGGCGAGCCACUCUGAUGUGUCAGAGAGGCAGCCCUUGGGCAAAUGGGAAUGCACCUGAAGGAAGAGUGACCACACUGUUUGACUUAGGUUCCCAGGCUAGGGGUCAACUCGGAGCUGUAGCCACCAGCCUACGCCAGAGCCACAGCAACGCGGGAUGCGAGCCGCGUCUGCAACCUACACCACAGCUCACGGCAACGCCAGAUCCUUAACCCACUGAGCAAGGGCAGGGAUGGAACCCGCAACCUCAUGGUUCCUAGUUGGAUUCGUUAACCACUGCGCCAGGACAGGAACUCUGCAGAAUGUUUAAGUUGGUUACUAAAUGUGAAUAUUAGAGCAUGGAGUUGAUGAGAAAAUUGAUAAAAACCCCAUAAACCCUACCUGUCUAUAAUAUGCUAGUAAAUUAUGAUUAAAUCCUCAGAAAUCAAAGGAAGACAAAACUCAAGAUGUUUUAGAUUUUUUAGGAUCAUGAGUUGCUUAAAGUGCGACCGAUUCUGGCCACAUCUAUGCUUUUCGGAGCUGAUUGGGCCUGUGCUUAGAACUUGGUUGUGUAGGUCUUGUUCUAUGAGUUGUAUGGUCACAUUUUUUGAUGUAGAGUUGAUGUAAAAAAAAUUAUGUAAGUGAUAUGUGAACAAUAUAGGGAAUCACAAUUUUAAAGGUUAUAUUCCAUUUAUAAUUCUAACAGAAUAUUGGCUAUAUUCCCCAUGUCAUACAAUAUAUCCUUAUAGCUUAUUUUAUACACAAUAGUUUGUACUUCUUACUCUCUUACUUCUAUUGCUCCUCCCCCUUCCCUCUUACCACUAGUAACCACUAAUUCUUUAUAUCCAUAUGUUUUUCUUUUUUUGUUCUAAUCUCUAGUUUGUUGUAUUUUUUUAGAGUCCACAUAUAAAUGAUGUCAUACAGUAUUUGUCUUUCUCUGUUGGACUGACUUUAUUUAGCACAGUGCCCUCCAGGUCUGCAUGUUGUUGCAAAUGGCAAGAUUUCAUUCUUUUUUUACGGCUGAGUAGUAUUUGUGUGUGUGUGUUUCUAUAUACACACAACAGCUUUAUCCAUUCAUCUGUUGAUGGACACUAAGGUUGCUUCUGUAUCUUGGCAGUUGUAAAUAAUGCUGCUGUGAACAUUGGGGUGCAUGUAUUCUCUCAAAUUAGUGUUUCUGUUUUUUUUUUUUUUUUUUUUUUUUUUUUUUUUGGUAUAUCCAGGAGUGGAAUUGCUGGGUCAUAUGAUGGUUCUGUUUUCAGUUUAUUAAGCUAUCCAUGGCCACAUUUCUGCAAUUACUUUGCUACCUCCUUGCUUGGCGGUAUCCUUAGGUUCCUCAGGGAUCUAUCAUCCUACCAUCUAGGCAUCCUGCCUUCUGACAAUUCCACCGGCUACUUUUGUACUGGAACUGAUGUUGUAGGUACAAGUCUGUGCAGCUGUGUUGCUGCCUUGGGUACCUUUGGGCAGAACCCGUGUUUGUCAGUUGGUGGUUUAGACAAGUUGUAGGUAAAGCAGAAUGAGAGCCUCUGUCUAGAUUCUUAUCUUUUGCUCCAGCAGAGUCAGACAGAGAGAAAUGAAGUUGAAUGUCAGGCAGCCUUUGUUUAGAAAAGGAGAUUCCGGUGUUUAGAACAACUCAAGCCGCUAAGACGGAACAGGGCUUGGAGGUGGGAGAAGGGUCUUGCAAAGCUUUACAUUAUAAGCCCAACACGUGAAGUGAGGCCGAGUAAAAUCUCACUAUUUCUGAAAGACUGAAACAAACCAUCCUGGAAUGUGAAGGUGUUCAUUUUAUAAAGAGAAUGGAAUCUUCCUCCGAACACCUGAGGUCCCAGAAUGGGUUAGUAAAGAUAGAAUAGAUGGGAAACAUGAUCUUCUUUUAAAUGUUUCCAUUUGUUUUGUGUGUUCGUUGGUUUUAUAACAUCCAGGUAAGUCUCAAGGUGAAGAAGAGGUCUAUUGCUAAGACAUCAGCGUUUCUAUGAUAGGGAGUAGCUGAAAGGGAUCUAAAGGAUGGCAUAACUGACUUUUAGACAAUCCAGAGCCACUCUUGUGAGCCGGGAGGAGUUGGGAAGAGUAGGUGUGUUGAGAGCUGGCUUAGCCCGGAGUUUUCUGUAGUUGCUUGAAGCUUAGAAAAACCAGAAGAAGAAAGUCCUUAAUAGGAACUCAUGCAAACCGGCUCCUCAGAUUAGGCUGGGGCAGCCUUGUCAGAUCUGUGACCCUCCCAGCUUGCUGUGCAAGGAAAAUGAUCUGGGUUAAAGGAAUCAUUCAUUAUUUUUUAACCUGCAAAUUCCUCCUAACUCCUACCUCUGUAGCCGUUUAAACUCUGGUAAGGGGAGAAACUGAUACCUAAGCACAUGUAAGAAGAUGAAGUCACUUAUCGUGAAAUGUCUUUAAACCUUUAAUUAUUAUGAACAAAAGCUCUAGGUUCUUUGGAGCUUGGGGUGAUGUUUUAGUUUUGUGGCCGUUGGAGUUUUUUGGGCUCUUAGAUUGAGUCAUCUUUUGAAGAUCUAGAAUAACAUACCAUCUACUACAAAGAAAUGAUGGCAGUGUUGGUCCUGACACACACACAUUGGUAUUCAUAAAAGUAUCUACAAGCUGCUUUAUUUUGUUACUGCAGCAGGCCUGCAGCAAGUCUGUGCUGCCCAGGGACACUUGGAAGACAAGGUCACCAUCCUGCUUUCGUGGGGCCAUGGGCCUCUUCGGGCCAGUCCAAGGCUGAGGUACUAGACUCACAGUCAUCCUGGUUCCUUAAUGGAGACACUGCAGAAAUGCAAAGAAACAUGAGCUCUUGGCACCCAGUAGGUAUUUAGCAAACGCUUGGAGGGUAGCCGAUAGUAGGGGCAUUGCUCAUGGCAGAAUUCUGCAGUAGGUGGUGGGUAAUGCUACUUACCAGCCCAGCUGACACUGCCUCAGCUCACACUUUGUGAUCCUGGGAGACAAGCUGCUGGCAUUUACUCUUUGUUUGUAGGCUCAGCUUGGGGUAGGGGACUCUUGGCCACAGAGACUGAGUCUUGAUCCAUGGUGUCCCUCUUCUUUUGAAGGCUUUUUGUCAUCUGAGGAGAGUUAUCCUCUUGGUCUCUUGACCCAGUUUUGGCAAAGGAUCGACAGUGAGCCUCAUGCCCUGAAGGCCUCAUACAGUUUAACUGGUAUCAGGGCGCCGACUACAUGCAAGCUACUCCCUCGCUUAAGAGCUUUAAAAAUGAGAUUUUUUUUUUUUCCUUUGAAAUUUAAAAGAAAGUGGACUAAAAAUGUGCUUGCUUUUCAACAUAGAUGGAUUAGCUGGCAUGGAGGGAAGGCCUGCCUUUGAAAUCUAUAGGCAUCGUGUUGCAGGCCUGACCCCGUUGACCCUGGUGGAUUAGUAAUGGUCUACGCAGCCUGCUCUGUCAGCACGUCUGGCAGGGCUUGCACAGAUGGUGCCAGUUGGAGAAAAUCACCGCUGAACGUUGCACUGCAGCCUGGCUUUGGCCGAGGAGCUUUGGGAGGAGGAGCCGAGACUGGGUUUGUUUUCAGACGUGUUUCUGCCCAGCGUGUCGGAAUCGACCUGCAAGGAUGCCAGUCUGGGUGUAGGAUGCAUUUGCUGAUUAGGACUUGAGUAAUGCUCCCUUGUCAUGGCUGAGGCCCUCCUGUGCUAUCAAGCAGCUGGGGUUUCUAACAGUCUGUGGCCUUGGGGUUGUUCUGAAAGGGAAUUUGAAACUAGAACUGACCUCAUUGCAAGGAGGCAAGCAUAAUGCAAUCCUUGUUUUCCUAGAGUCAAUCAGCCUAAGGAAAAUUCGAGUAGGCUGGAAUGGGGGGCGGGGCACAGGGAGUCUUUAAAGUUUGAGUAAUCACCUUAACGUGGGGGUAAAGAGAAUUUUAUUCUAGAGAGAAGCAUACAUGACCUCUGUCCUUGCAGCUGCCACCAGUGCCUGGGUCGUCAAGUGGUACCCUGAGAGUUUAUAAUUAACCCUCCUUGUGUUGGGAUCAGUCAUAGAAAUGCUCCUUAAAGACACUGAGGAAAAGAACUUCAUUGAGGUGUAUGUAGUCUGUCCACAAAGUUGAACUGAGCUGAAACUGUAAGUCUGCUCUUCGAAUGAGACCUUGUAUUCUUGGAAAAAUCUGCUCGGCCUUGCUUUGAUAGUCCAGUAUUAAGGAAGUGUAUCCUCCUAAAAUAUUUGCAUCUGAGCUAUGUUUCAGCAGGUCGAGGCUGAACAGGCAAAAAAAAAAAAAAAAAAAAAA
rnacentral:lncRNA from 1 species